rnacentral:rRNA from 1 species
UACGUAUGGAGCAAGCGUUAUCCGGAUUUACUGGGUGUAAAGGGAGCGCAGGCGGCUUUGCAAGUCUGAUGUGAAAGGCCGGGGCUCAACCCCGGGACUGCAUUGGAAACUGUAAAGCUAGAGUGCCGGAGAGGUAAGCGGAAUUCCUAGUGUAGCGGUGAAAUGCGUAGAUAUUAGGAGGAACACCAGUGGCGAAGGCGGCUUACUGGACGGCAACUGACGCUGAGGCUCGAAAGCGUGGGUAUCGAACAGG